rnacentral:ncRNA from 1 species
UCUUAUCAAGAGUGGCGGAGGGACUGGCCCUUUGAUGCCACAGCAACCUACUAAACCUAAUGGUAUAAACCAAGGUUUUGACUUAUACCAUUCGGUUCUGGCAAGGUGCUAAUUCCUGCGGAUAUUUCCGAAUGAUGAG